CUGUUCCGUUGAUAUCAAAAUUCAUUGGUCAACUGGACAAAUACACUGAUGGCCUGAUGAAGGUGUUCCGUCACAAAGGAGGAUGUGCAGGACAGAAAAUCCACACCAUAAUGGCACUGACAGCUAAAAAUGAAGACAUAAACACCAGGCGUGAUAGUAUCCUGAGGUGUCUACCUCAACGAAGACAUCGAGACACUUGUCAAAGAAUAUGUGGACACUGAAAGUGUGGAGGCCGAGUCUCUCAUUGCACAGACAACAAUGGGCAUCUAUGUCAUUCGAGCGGAGGGUGCUGGUCCUGAAGAAGAACCUUCAGAUGUUGGUGUUGUUCUUGAAGGAGUUGAAGUUCUGCAAAACCUGCCAAGUGUCACACUUGGAUGUGUGAUGCUUUUUGGACUAAUUUAUGCCCUUAACUUAAACU